AAGGGUCCAGGUUUUUUUCUU
rnacentral:miRNA from 1 species